rnacentral:lncRNA from 1 species
CCUUAUUCUGCUUACUUUACAUACCGAUAUCUAGGCGAAUUAGCCAGACAUGCUAAAUAAACAAGCAUACAUAUCAUGCAUAAACAGACUCAUUCCAGGCAGAUAAUAUAAUUAAAUAAUAAAACAAAAUAUUAAAUAAUGAUUAAAGAACCUGAAUGCGUAAUACAAAAGUCUUGAACACUCCACCACAAGCCGGUAGGAUUUGUUCUUCGAUUCUUCAAUUAAACAAUAAAUUAAACCAAGGAAAUAAAACUAGAAUCUAACGUAAGGUUAGAUCUGAUAAAAAGUUGCACAAUAGUUUCCGGUGUAGAAACUAUUAUGCGAAAAAUAUCUAAAUGCUAAAAGGGGAAAGGUAAAUUGCAAGGGAAAAAGAACGUAGAACUUGCAAAAGAAAUAAAUAAAAUAAACGAUGUUAAGUUGCUGGAAAAGAAAAAAUAAGCAAAAGCGUAAAAAGAAAAUUGGCAAAGCUUCGGCAAUAUGAGCGUGGAAAAACCGAGGAACCCUUUUAGGUUUUAGAGAUAGCUAUUUAUA